rnacentral:rRNA from 1 species
ACGCCCCCCCGGAACUAAAUCUCCGUUGCCCAGGCAGCCGCGGUUAUACGAAGUGGGACAAGCCGUUAAUCGGAAUUACUGGGCGUAAAAGCGUGCGUAGGCGUCUUUGGUAAGCCGGUUGUGAAAAGCCCCGGGCUCAACCGUGGGAAUGGCAUCCGGAACUGUCAGGCUAGAGUGCAGGAGAGGAAGGUAGAAUUCCCGGUGUAGCGGUGAAAUGCGUAGAGAUCGGGAGGAAUACCAGUGGCGAAGGCGGCCUUCUGGACUGACACUGACGCUGAGGUACGAAAGCGUGGGUAGCAAACAGGAUUAGAUACCGUGGUAGUCCACGCCGUAAACGAUGUCGACUAGCCGUUGGGGUCCUUGAGACCUUUGUGGCGCAGUUAACGCACUAAGUCGACCGCCUGGGGAGUACGGCCGCAAGGUUAAAACUCAAAUGAAUUGACGGGGGCCCGCACAAGCGGUGGAGCAUGUGGUUUAAUUCGAUGCAACGCGAAGAACCUUACCUACCCUUGACAUCGUGCGAACUUGGUAGAGAUACCUUGGUGCUUUCGGGAGCGCACAGACAGGUGCUGCAUGGCUGUCGUCAGCUCGUGUUGUGAAAUGUUGGGUUAAGUCCCGUAACGAGCGCAACCCUUAUCCUUAUUUGCCAGCGAUUCGGUCGGGAACUCUAAGGAGACUGCCGGUGACAAACCGGAGGAAGGUGGGGACGACGUCAAGUCAUCAUGGCCCUUACGGGUAGGGCUACACACGUGCUACAAUGGCCGAUACAAUGGGUCGCAAAGCGGCGACGUGGCGCUAAUCCCAUAAAGUCGGUCUCAGUCCGGAUCGGAGUCUGCAACUCGACUCCGUGAAGUCGGAAUCGCUAGUAAUCGUGCAUCAGAAUGGCACGGUGAAUACGUUCCCGGGCCUUGUACACACCGCCCGUCACACCAUGGGAGUGGACUGCACCAGAAGGAUUAGCCUAUCUGGGAGGGCUUAACCACCGGGUGGGUAGC